CCUACGGGUGGCAGCAGUCGAGAAUCAUUCACAAUGGGGGAAACCCUGAUGCUGCGACGCCGCGUGGGGGAAUGAAGGUCUUCGGAUUGUAAACCCCUUUCAUGUGGGAGCAAAUUAAAAAGAUCGUACUACAAGAGGAAGAGCCGGCUAACUCUGUGCCAGCAGCCGCGGUCAUACAGAGGUCUCAAGCGUUAUUCGGAAUCACUGGGCGUAAAGCGUGCGUGGGCAGUUUCGUCAGUCGGGUGUGAAAGGUGCGGGCUCAACCCGCGGACGGCACAUGAUACUGCGAGACUAGAGUAAUGGAGGGGGAACCGGAAUUCUCGGUGUAGCAGUGAAAUGCGUAGAUAUCGAGAGGAACACUCGUGGCGAAGGCGGGUUGCUGGACAUUAACUGACGCUGAGGCACGAAGGCCAGGGGAGCGAAAGGGAUUAGAUACCCGAGUAGUC
rnacentral:rRNA from 1 species